rnacentral:rRNA from 1 species
UACGUGGGGUGCAAGCGUUAAUCGGAAUUACUGGGCGUAAAGCGUGCGCAGGCGGUGAUGUAAGACAGGUGUGAAAUCCCCGGGCUUAACCUGGGAACUGCAUUUGUGACUGCAUCGCUGGAGUGCGGCAGAGGAGACUGGAAUUCCUGGUGUAGCAGUGAAAUGCGUAGAUAUCAGGAGGAACACCGAUGGCGAAGGCAGGUCUCUGGGCUGACACUGACGCUCAUGCACGAAAGCGUGGGGAGCAAACAGG